rnacentral:rRNA from 1 species
GACGAACGCUGGCGGCGUGCCUAAUACAUGCAAGUUGAGCGCUGAAGGUUGGUACUUGUACCGACUGGAUGAGCAGCGAACGGGUGAGUAACGCGUGGGGAAUCUGCCUUUGAGCGGGGGACAACAUUUGGAAACGAAUGCUAAUACCGCAUAAAAACUUUAAACACAAGUUUUAAGUUUGAAAGAUGCAAUUGCAUCACUCUAAGAUGAUCCCGCGUUGUAUUAGCUAGUUGGUGAGGUAAAGGCUCACCAAGGCGAUGAUACAUAGCCGACCUGGGAGGGGGAUCGGCAACAUUGGGACUGAGACACGGCCCAAACUCCUACGGGAGGCAGCAGUAGGGAAUCUUCGGCAAUGGACGAAAGUCUGACCGAGCAACGCCGCGUGAGUGAAGAAGGUUUUCGGAUCGUAAAACUCUGUUGGUAGAGAAGAACGUUGGUGAGAGUGGAAAGCUCAUCAAGUGACGGUAACUACCCAGAAAGGGACGGCUAACUACGUGCCAGCCGCCGCCGUAA